AGAACGAACGCUGGCGGCAUGCCUAAUACAUGCAAGUCGAACGAACUCUUCGGAGUUAGUGGCGCACGGGUGCGUAACGCGUGGGAAUCUGCCCCUUGGUUCGGAAUAACAGUUGGAAACGACUGCUAAUACCGGAUGAUGACGAAAGUCCAAAGAUUUAUCGCCAAGGGAUGAGCCCGCGUAGGAUUAGCUAGUCGGUGAGGUAAAGGCUCACCAAGGCAACGAUCCUUAGCUGGUCUGAGAGGAUGAUCAGCCACACUGGGACUGAGACACGGCCCAGACUCCGUACGGGAGGCAGCGAGUAGGGAAUAUUGGACAAGUGGGACGAAAGCCUAGAUCCAGUCAAUGACCGCGUGACGUGAUGAACGGCCGUUAAGGGUUGUAAAGUCUUACUUUUACCCGAGUAUGAUAGUGACAGUACCGGAGAACUACGCCCGGAUAACCGUCCGUCGACCAAGCC
rnacentral:rRNA from 1 species